rnacentral:piRNA from 1 species
AUGUCUGUGCACCACGUGCGU